GGGCAUGCUGCAGCUGAAGAAGACUUCGGUGUGAGGCAAGGUCCAAAAUGGAACAAGUGUGUCCACGUUUACUUACUAUGUGCCUCUUCCACUAGCAUGCCACAUUCUGAAAACCAAGAUCAGAAACAUUAUUUUGCCAACAGGAAAGUAUCAUUUAUGCUGCUUAUUAUUCAUGGCUUGAAUAGUUUGUUAAUAUUACUACUUCUUCCUUGCAACUCCAUUUGUACUUCAGAUAAAGACAACUAUUUUUGCCUCACCUGGAUAUCUGCAUAGAAGUGGAAAAAUGGAUAAUAACAUGGAGGCUGAGAUUUGAAGAAAGCUUACUACUGGUUUAGCUCAGUUCAUCUUAUCUGUUUAAAAGACAUCUGUUGGGAUGGCUGGUCUGGUCU